rnacentral:lncRNA from 1 species
UACAAGUGGACAAAUAAAUAAUAAAAAAUUAUAUACAUGUUAAAAAUAAUUUUUAAAUAAUAUUAAAAUCAUUUAAAUUGAAAAAAAAAAAAUCUCAUCUCUCUUCUCCAACCCAGCUAACCACCCCAACGACCUUGCCCAACCCUUCCCUGCCCCAACUUCGUCUCUACCCCACCCCACACCACCACACACCCCCCCACCCCCCCUCUCUCUCCGUUGCAGCCAUCAUCUUGCCUAAUUGCUUAUAAUCCCUCUGUUUCGUUAUUGUGCAAACGAAAUUUCGUGAAUCUAGCACUGAGAACCUCUUUGUUUCUUCCAAAAAGAUAAAACCCCAAAUUCAGCUCCGUCGAAUUCCACUACCCAAAUCCAAAAUGAAGCAUUUGAAUGAGUAUACAAAACACAUCACAGAGUGCAAAUGACUGGAUUUCAUCACAAUUUUAUAGAAAAACCAUUUGUUUUGUUUCAUUCAACCAGAACAUACACUCAAAUCUACUUUCUCAGCAUCCAAACAAAGCCAGAAAGCAAGAAAAGAAGGGCAACCCAUUAAAGCCCAUUACUUUCUGGGCGAGUUUUGCAAAACUUUGAGAUAUGGGUUUUUUGAGAGAAUCCAUGGUUUCUCAGAAGCCCCAAAACGAAGUCUGCGUUUUUUGAGAACUGCAACUUGAUCCCUUUGGAAGUUGAAAUCACAUCUUCUGGUGACAACCAUGGUUGAGGUCGACGACGAUCAAUUCGGAAAAUUGAAAACCCCCAACCCAAGCGACGAUCAAUCCUUAAUUGGGAGGUCGAGGAAUGAAGAUGGCGAUCAUAAGGUCUCCGAGGGAAGCAAGAGGAAGAGGCAGUUGAUAAGGAUAGAGAUCUUGCCCUUGGUUCUAUCCAAAAACAACGAGGUCAGUGGCGAUGACUUUAACGGCGGUGUGCACGGAGAGAGGGUGGGUCGGUGUGGGUGUGGGAAAAGGCAG